rnacentral:rRNA from 1 species
UGGGGGAUAUUGCACAAUGGGGGAAACCCUGAUGCAGCGACGCCGCGUGGAGGAAGAAGGUUUUCGGAUUGUAAACUCCUGUCGUUAGGGACGAAUUUUGACGGUACCUAACAAGAAAGCACCGGCUAACUACGUGCCAGCAGCCGCGGUAAAACGUAGGGUGCAAGCGUUGUCCGGAAUUACUGGGUGUAAAGGGAGCGCAGGCGGACCGGCAAGUUGGAAGUGAAAUCUAUGGGCUCAACCCAUGAACUGCCUUCAAAACUGUCGGUCUUGAGUGGUGUAGAGGUAAGCGGAAUUCCCGGUGUAGCGGUGGAAUGCGUAGAUAUCGGGAGGAACACCAGUGGCGAAGGCGGCUUACUGGGCACUAACUGACGCUGAGGCUCGAAAGCAUGGGUAGCAAACAGGAUUAGAUACCC